rnacentral:rRNA from 1 species
AUACGGGGGGUGCAAGCGUUAAUCGGAAUUACUGGGCGUAAAGCGCGCGUAGGCGGUUUGUUCAGUCGGAUGUGAAAGCCCAGGGCUCAACCUUGGAACUGCAUUCGAUACUGGCAAACUAGAAUGUGAUAGAGGAUAGUGGAAUUUCCGGUGUAGCGGUGAAAUGCGUAGAGAUCGGAAGGAACAUCAGUGGCGAAGGCGGCUAUCUGGAUCAACAUUGACGCUGAGGUGCGAAAGCGUGGGUAGCAAACAGGAUUAGAAACCCCUAGUAGUCC